rnacentral:rRNA from 1 species
AGAGUUUGAUCCUGGCUCAGGACGAACGCUGGCGGCGUGCCUAAAACAUGCAAGUCGAACGGUUCUAGCAAUAGGACAGUGGCGAACGGCGGAGUAAUACAUAAGCAACGUGCCCCGAAGACCGGGAUAGUCAGUGGAAACGCUGGGUAAUACCGGAUGUGACGGAACUAGGGCAUCCUAGGUCCAUUAAAUGGUUUUUCGCUUCGGGAGCGGCUUAUGGCCUAUCAGGUAGUUGGUGGGGUAAUGGCCUACCAAGCCGACGACGGGUAGCGGGUCUGAGAGGAUGGUCCGCUCGAGUGGGACUGAGACACGGCCCACACACCUACGGGUGGCAGCAGUUGGGAAUCUUGCACAAUGGGGGAAACCCUGAUGCAGCGACGCCGCGUGGAGGAUGACGGGUCUAGGCCUGUAAACUCCUUUUAUGGGGAAAGACUUAGGACGGUACCCCAUGAAUAAGGACCGGCUAACUACGUGCCAGCAGCCGCGGUAAGACGUAGGGUCCAAGCGUUGUCCGGAUUUACUGGGCGUAAAGAGCGCGUAGGCGGUCUGCUAAGUGAGAAGUGAAAUCUUCAGGGCUCAACCCGAAAAUUGCUUUUCAUACUGGCAGACUGGAGGGAUGCAGAGGUAUGUGGAAUUCCUGGUGUAGCGGUGAAAUGCGUUGAUAUCAGGAGGAACACCCAUGGCGAAGGCAGCAUACUGGGCAUCAUCUGACGCUGAGGCGCGAAAGCGUGGGUAGCAAACAGGAUUAGAUACCCUAGUAGUCC